CUUCUGCUUACGUACACCCGGGGUUCCGAGGAUCUGGCGUGAGUGACAGAGCUCGCCUCUGGAGGAAACGGAGCGACUCCAAACUGCAAGGCCCGCGGCAGUCAGUAUAAAGCGACUUUUAGCAUGAAAUAGGCUGUUUGGCACGUGCCCCGCCCCCUCCAAAUUCAUUUUCCCCAUCUGUUCUGAAAUUCUGUUGCUUAAAUAAUACACAGGAAUUGUUUGAACAAUGACUUCGUACACAAUUUCACUCGCUGGACCUUCGCCUUGGGGCUUCCGGUUGCAAGGAGGCAAGGACUUCAACAUGCCCCUCACCGUUUCCAAGAUUACACCCGGGAGCC